AAAUGCACAAUGUGAGUAGUGAUUCCUAAGCAUUUAAGGGGUGAUUUUCAAGUAAUAGAGUGAGCAGAAGACACCAUGUACAGGGACUCCAGAUGCCCCAGGCAGAGGUAAAAUGCUCGAAAGAGAGGAACAUCACUACCUGGCGGGCAGGUGGGGACAGGCUUGCCACGGAUGGUCUGGGGAUGGGAUAACUCUCUGGCUCCCACUCUGAGAAGCAGGAGGUGAUCUGGCCACAAGCCCUCAAGACGUGUUGAGUUUGGGAAUACCUCACUGCUAGGGAAUACCAGGAAUUAUGCAAUUCACUGUCUUCAUUUUAAAAUUCUGUAUGGGAGAAGCUAAAAAGUGAAGUUGGGGGGUUUUAGUAUAUUUCAUUUGCAUUGGUUUACUCUUCUCGUUCCUUGAUUAUCUGAGAGGAGGCUGCUGUUACGGAAAAGCGAAAACCAGGAGUGGUUUGAAUAUUCUUCCUUGAGACUUUUGACUGUUUCUAUAAGAAGUGGAUCUGCAUGUGCCUUUUGGAUAUUGUGUUCCUCAUGACAAUGCCUUUUGUUCAUAGAUAGUUCCCAGUUUCCAAAGACUUUCCCCAUUAUAACAUUUGUUCCAUCCUCAAAACCGUCAAAUGCAAAGGCCUCCAUUUUAUUAAAGGAGAAAGUACGACUCAAAGAAGUCAAGUGACUCACCCGAGGUCACACAGCUAAAUUCUAGCAGAGCAAGGGACCAAGAUAGUGAAUUCUAAAUGCAGAGACCUUCUUAUUGUUCCAAUUUUCUGUCCGACAAUGCCCACCUCCUGGAGUGAGCAAGUCUUGCUGGAGACACAACAGCAGCUACAAGUGGUCCUCCCGACUAUUCCAGAAAUCCUUUUUCCACAGUGAAAAACUGAAUUUGCCUGCCCCAGUUUCCCAGCCGCCUCAUGACUCGAUGAGCAAUUGCUUUAACUCUGACAAAAUUAGGCCACCUCCAACCUAAAUGUAACCCGUUUUCAGAGUGAGACCCUGCAUGGAGGCAGCUCUUUUCCUGAAAGGAUAACAAAAGCAUGCUUUUGUGUGUAUUUCACUUGAUGGAAAGAAAUCCCCAGUGAGGCCGUUUUUUCCCCCUGAAUUCUCCCAAGUCCAGAAUGUAUCCAAGUUUCCAAUAUUACCUCAGAAGAGCCAUUCAUCUAUGAAGAUGGCCGAAUUGUCUUCCAGCUCGGUAGACAGUGUGUCUGCGAGAGAGAAGGUCUGCAUCUGCCAGUUCAGCCGGCCCUGACUGAAAAUAUUUGGGAAAAAAAUUACAAUUAAAAAGUAAGAAUAUUCACCUUCUGCCAUGAGCAAAAGCCUCCUGAAGCCUCACCAGAAGCUGAACAAAUGCUGGCGUCAUGCUUGUACAUCCUGCAGAAACCCUCAUGCUUUGAAAACAAAGGAUUUGGAGGUCUUUUGUAUUUUGCAAAAGCUGCAAGGGCAUCCCUGUGUUGGACAACCUAUCUGCAGGAGAGUACAGUAAGGAGAACCUGUGUGCCUGGAAGAAGGAGAGUGUGGUGAUUGUGAGGCUCUGCAUUGAACUCGGUGCUGCCCUGUCACAGAAAGCGGAACCCGCUAUAUUCAGUUGGUGCCCCCGAGAAAGCAUUUGGAUUAGCCAUAGCCAGAGGGUCAUCGCCCAUCUCAGCAUCAGGGCUUGAGUUCUGGCAAGUCUCAGCACCACAGGCGGGAGUGCUCUGGGGCCUUAAGUGAACUUGAGAGACAGUCUAGGCCACAAGAACUGCAAUUCCAAGGCAAGUCCUAGUGCUGAGCUGGGCUCAGAGCCAGUAGACGGAAGAGGAAGUGGGGGACCUACAACCUGCUGAGACACCAGCCUAGAUGGCUUAGGGAGUGCUUGUGCCACCCCUCCCCAGCCCCCAGCAUCGAUCCUGCUGCACAGAGAAAUCUGUGAACUUGGGAGAGGGAGAGUGCAGUGGGUGGGGGACUUUGCAUUGAACUCAGUGCUGUCCUGUUACAGUGGAGACCUGUCAGGAUUCAUCACCUGCUAACUAAAGACUCCCUGGGUCCUGAAUAACCAACAAUGAUACCCAGGUAAUAUGCCAUGGGCUUUGGGCUCUUAGAUACGUUGGCUUCAGGUGUGACCCAGCACAUUCCCAGCUGUGGUGGCUGUGGUGAAAGACUCCUUCUGUUUGAGAAAAGCAGGGGGAAAAUUAAGGGAACUCUUGCAUGUUUGAUUUUUCAAAUGGAUUCCUGCCUGUGUGUGACCACUCUUUUCUCUCAAAAACUCAUCAUGGGAACACUGCAAUAAAACCAAAGAACCAGGACACCAAAGAUUGUUAUAUAUGGAUUU
rnacentral:lncRNA from 10 species